rnacentral:rRNA from 1 species
UACGUAGGGUCCGAGCGUUGUCCGGAAUUACUGGGCGUAAAGAGCUCGUAGGUGGUUUGUCGCGUUGUUCGUGAAAACUCACAGCUUAACUGUGGGCGUGCGGGCGAUACGGGCAGACUUGAGUACUGCAGGGGAGACUGGAAUUCCUGGUGUAGCGGUGGAAUGCGCAGAUAUCAGGAGGAACACCGGUGGCGAAGGCGGGUCUCUGGGCCGAAACUGACGCUGAGGAGCGAAAGCGUGGGGAGCAAACAGG